UACGUAGGAGGCAAGCGUUGUCCGGAAUCACUGGGCGUAAAGAGCGUGUAGGCGGUCUGCCAAGUCUGUUGUGAAAGCGCCUGGCUCAACUGGGCGGGGUCAGCGGAUACGGCAGAGCUUGAGCAAGCUAGGGGGCAAUGGAAUUCCCGGUGUAGUGGUGGAAUGCGUAGAUAUCAGGAGGAACACCCAUGGCGAAGGCAGCAAACUGGUCAUCAACUGACGCUGAGGCGCGAAAGCGUGGGUAGCAAACAGG
rnacentral:rRNA from 1 species